UACGGAGGGUGCUAGCGUUGUUCGGAAUUACUGGGCGUAAAGGGCGCGUAGGCGCCGUUUGCGUCGGAUGUGAAAGCCCGGGGCUCAACCUCGGAACGGCAUUCGAUACGGGACGGCUAGAGACCGGGAGAGGAGAGUGGAAUAGCCAGUGUAGAGGUGAAAUUCGUAGAUAUUGGCUGGAACACCGGUGGCGAAAGCGGCUCUCUGGCCCGGUUCUGACGCUGAGGCGCGAAAGCGUGGGGAGCAAACAGG
rnacentral:rRNA from 1 species